rnacentral:rRNA from 1 species
UACGGAGGGAGCAAGGCGUUGUUCGGAAUCACUGGGCGUAAAGGGCGCGUAGGCGGUCGGGUAAGUCGGGUGUGAAAUUCCGGGGCUCAACCCCGCGAACUGCAUCCGAUACUGCUCGACUAGAGAGAGGUAGGGGCGAGUAGAAUUCCCGGUGUAGCGGUGGAAUGCGUAGAUAUCGGGAAGAACACCGGUGGCGAAGGCGGCUCGCUGGGCCUUUUCUGACGCUGAAGCGCGAAAGCGUGGGGAGCAAACAGGAUUAGAUACCCUGGUA